rnacentral:lncRNA from 1 species
AAGGAAUCAUUCGUUUGAGUAAGAUGAGGAAUUGUUGAUGGGAGUUUGAUAAACAUGCAAGAGAAAGAGGGGAUCAGUGUUAAGGAAUUGAUGCAAUCUUUCCGCUUUACAUUAUAUAAAUCCAUCUCGUUUUCCAAAAUAAUAUUAAUCAAACCAAACUCCAAGUGGUACAAUGAACUACUUACCAUUCGUUGUAUGUCAAGUCUUCUGGUCUUUUUAUUAUUAUCUUCUUUAUCUACCAAUUUCUGACAUGUUUCUUUUUAUUUCUUUUAAGUCCACCACAAUUUCUUAAAUUUUCAACAUUUUCACUACUUAAUUUGAUUUUUUUUUUUAAAUUUAUUUGGUAACAUAUUACAUGUUUGGUUUUAGAAUGUAGUAAUGAAUGAGGAAGCAUAUAUUUAUUAUAUAGUAAUAAAAAGGCAAAGAAGCAAAUCCUAUUGGGUUGAUUAUUUAAAAAACAACAGCCACCCCAUGCCUGAAUUAAAGUAGUAUAAUCAUGAAACAUAUCUGAUGGUGAAGCGAUAGAUUAUUUGAAGGAAGCUGCUAAUCUUUCGAAACUAUAACUAUGAUUACCAUGUGUCGGAAGACAGC